rnacentral:rRNA from 1 species
UGGGGGAUAUUGCACAAUGGGCGAAAGCCUGAUGCAGCGACGCCGCGUGGGGGAUGAAGGCCUUCGGGUUGUAAACUUCUUUUGCUCUGAACAAGGCAUGCUAAUGGGUGUGUUGAGUGUAGGGGUUGAUUAGCGCCGGCUAACUACGUGCCAGCAGCCGCGGUAAUACGUAGGGCGCGAGCGUUGUCCGGAAUUAUUGGGCGUAAAGGGCUUGUAGGUGGCUGGUUGCGUCUGUCGUGAAAGCUCAUGGCUUAACUGUGGGUUUGCGGUGGGUACGGGCUGGCUUGAGUGCAGUAGGGGAGGCUGGAAUUCCUGGUGUAGCGGUGGAAUGCGCAGAUAUCAGGAGGAAUACCGGUGGCGAAGGCGGGUCUCUGGGCUGUUACUGACACUGAGGAGCGAAAGCAUGGGGAGCGAACGGG